rfam:Monodelphis domestica chromosome 5, whole genome shotgun sequence.
CAAAAGGUUUUUUUUAAAGCCACAUUUCAUUGUAUAUAUAUAUAUAU